CUUUCUAUUCCUAUUGUGGAAAAAAGCUUAAGCUCUGUAAUAAAAUUAGGAAAGGACUUGACAAAAAAGUGGGAUCGGAAUAAUAUUGUUUAUAAAUUUAAUUGUAAUAGUUGCCCUGCAACAUAUAUUGGUGAAUCAAAGCGUACUUUGAAAAAAAGAAUUAGCGAGCAUAAAAACAAAAACCUCGAAUCCGUUGUGAACAAACAUCAAACUGAAUAUAAUCAUUCUUUUAAUUUUGACGAUGCAGAAAUUUUAGAUUAUGAAACUUCUUAUAAAAAACGAUUAAUUUCUGAGAUGAUUUAUAUUAAAUGCAAUAAUUUUACUAUUAACAAGAAGGAAGAUAUACAGUUUCUUAGUAAUUCCUAUUUUCCUUUGCUUAAUAAAUUGAAAUAAUGGUUAUAAUUCAUAAUAUUUCGAUUGCGGGUCAUUGACCCCAUCGACUGUAUAUAACGCGAAAAUUGUCACCGGCUCAGUCAGUUUGACUAAUCACUCGUUUUAAUAUGUUUGUGAUUUGUAAAUUUAAAUAUUUUAUUUUUUUGUUGUAUUGCGUUUAUUUAUGUUUUUAAUUUAUUGACGUGAUGUUUAUUUAUUGACUUUAACUAGAAAUAUUGAACUACAAGGAACGAGAUUCAUUUCGUCAUACAUUUUUUUUAUGAAGAGUAGCAGUGAAGCCGAAGUACAAUGUGGCACCUGCUGGUUAUAAAAAAGGUACAUGGAGAGUGAAAGAAGAAUAUGGAAGAAGAGGACAAUCGUUGCGGAGGAGUGAGAAAAGAAACUAUGGAAUAGACGGUAGAGUAAUGAUAAAAAAAAGAAAAAGAAGAAAAUGGAGAAUUGUAAAAAAAGAAGAAAAACGAAGCGAGCGACGACCGGUCUUCCAGGUCGUCCUUAUUAAUUUGCAUAGAAAUUUCCAGAAUCUAAGAUUUUUCGUCUUCAAAACUUCCGCUCCGUCCACUAAAUAUAACUACAUGAUUAGUUCUCGUUCCAAAAUGUUCCUUUUUUGGUAGCGCGUCACUAUUAAUUUUGGAGAAAGUAGAAAGGAACACGUCCAGAUUGGCACUGCUUGUAGGACAAAUGGUUAUGUUUUAGCAGAGGGUGUAAAAUGUCGGAGCAGAAAGGUUUAUCUCUCAAGAUUUGGGUAGUGAAUGGCCACAAGGGAGGUUUGCCGAUAUCAGGUGAUCGGAGCUUAAAGUCGUUAAUUACCAAGGGGCGGCCCUCUCAUGUGUGUGUGCUAUAUCUACGCUGCUAGCUCUCGAGAAGCGAUUGCAAUGAAUCAAGCCGUCAUUAGCCGAGCAUUGUCGAUCGACAGUGUCAUUCGUUUGCAUGGGCCACGAGCAAUCCACUCAAUAGAUCGUUCAUUAACGAGUACAGCAACAAUGCUUUUUCUCAGCUUUUCAAAAUGUAUAUCGAAACCACUGAAAACCACUAAAUGAAAAAAAUUCUCUCCUCAACAAUUCUUUUCUUUUUUUCCUUUCGUUCGAUGCGGAAUAACAUAUUUUUAACAAUACUUCAUGUACAUUUUUUUUAAUUACAUUUUUUUAAU